UUAAUUGAAGCCAAAAAGAGGCCUAUCAUUGUUAAUGAUAUAAUUGAAAAAUUUUAUUCCAAUUAAA
rnacentral:tRNA from 1 species